rnacentral:rRNA from 1 species
GUGGGGAAUCUUGCGCAAUGGGCGAAAGCCUGACGCAGCCAUGCCGCGUGAAUGAUGAAGGUCUUAGGAUUGUAAAAUUCUUUCACCGGGGACGAUAAUGACGGUACCCGGAGAAGAAGCUCCGGCUAACUUCGUGCCAGCAGCCGCGGUAAUACGAAGGGGGCUAGCGUUGCUCGGAAUUACUGGGCGUAAAGGGCGCGUAGGCGGACAGCUUAGUCAGAGGUGAAAGCCCAGGGCUCAACCUUGGAAUUGCCUUUGAUACUGGCUGUCUUGAGUUUGGGAGAGGUGAGUGGAACGCCGAGUGUAGAGGUGAAAUUCGUAGAUAUUCGGAAGAACACCAGUGGCGAAGGCGACUCACUGGCCCAAUACUGACGCUGAGGCGCGAAAGCGUGGGGAGCAAACAGGAUUAGAAACCCUGGUAGUCC